rnacentral:rRNA from 1 species
UACAGAGGUCUCAAGCGUUGUUCGGAUUCAUUGGGCGUAAAGCGUCCGCAGGUGGCUGUGUAAGUCUGCUGUCAAAGAGCGAAGCUCAACUUCGUAAAGGCAGUGGAAACUACACGGCUAGAGUGCGUUCGGGGCAGAGGGAAUUCCUGGUGUAGCGGUGAAAUGCGUAGAGAUCAGGAAGAACACCGGUGGCGAAGGCGCUCUGCUAGGCCGCAACUGACACUGAGGGACGAAAGCUAGGGGAGCGAACGGG